ACAAUUCAAUCAGCAUUAAUUUUUGCAAAUUUUACUAUUAAAAGGUAGUCGAAGCAAUAAUGAAUCCAUUGAUGCAUAUUACUCCUGGAUAAUAUUUAUAUAGGGAUUUAAUUUCUGACUUAUACCAAGGUGUGAACCAACCGGCAUUUCUUAUCACGGCGGCUUACGGUAAAAGCAACGACUGCCUGUGUUUUUUCGACAUUUUGUAAUUCAAUCGAUAUUAAUUUGUGCAAAUUUUGCUAUAAUUAGAUAGUCAAAGCCAUAAUGAAUCCAUUGAUGUAUAUUACGCCUGGAUAAAAUUCAUUUAGGAAUUUAAUUUCUGACUUAUACCAAGGUGUGAACCAACCGGCAUUUUUUUACACGGUGGCUUAUGGAGAAAUCAACGACUGCUUGUGUUUUUUCGACUUUUUUUAAUUCCAUCGGUAUUAAUUUGUGCAAAUUUUGCUUGAAAUAGAUAUUCAAAGCCAUAAUGAAUCCAUUAAUGUAUGUUACUCCCAGAUAAUAUUCAUAUAUGGACUCAAUUUCAGACUUAUUACCGGCCUACUUAUUUUAGCUGGUUGAGUGUUGGGUUGAGUGUGUGUCUAGUCGACGAACGGAGCCGAGUCGGGACUGUCGGGAGUGGGGAGCGCUGAGCGCGAGUCUCUGCGUAUGCGUCAUCGCUAGUCGCCGCACACUAGUCUCCGGAGAACUGGACAAAACAGCCUCGAAAAGUGACUUCAUCGGCGAUCCAGUACUUUGCGACUCUAUUGUACUCUAUGGUCUUGACUCUCAGUAUAAAGGGACUCUAGUUUUACUCUACGGCAAAGACAUUGUAUCACGUAGACCGUGCGUUCGGCUCGGUUUAGUACUGGCGGAGCGAGGCAAGCAGAGACAAGAGACCCUCCACUAGUAUCUUGGCCAUUGUGGAAGCUUUUACUUUCGGGACUUCAGCAUUCUACUGUUGACUUACCUACAUGGUUGAUGGUUAACAACGUGUUGGCAGUUUCGUUUUGCAAACAAGUCAAAAAUGGCCGAAGUUUGUGAAACUUGUUUGGCUCAUGACGUCACCCGAAGCUCAUCAUCGACCAUGUAGGUAGGUCAACAGCCGAAAUUAGGGUGAUGACUGUUGCUCCCUAAUAAUUGUCCAUAAGGAACUGUUGAAUCCCCGAAAGUAAAAUCUUCCACCUGUCGCUAGGAGGCCAUGGAGGCCAGUGGAGGGUCUCUUGUCUCUGGAGGCAAGUCUCUCGGAACCCCAUGAUGGGCGGGCGGGGAAGGGGAGAGAGCGUGUGUCCCAAGCAGAGAUGGAAAAUUUCAUGAAAUUUAUUCGAAUGAAAUUUCACGCGAGAAAUUUCAUGAAAUUUCAUGAAAUUUCACGAAAUUUCAUGAAAUAUAUUGAAACUUCUGGGGAUACAUUCAGGAGGCUAAGAAACGCCUAGAAACAGUGAUUCUAAAUUUUGAAAUUUUUUACCCCAAGCCAUAAAACAUUCGCGCGUUGAAAAUGUUUUCGUUUAGUUUAGAGGUUAGGUUGGAGUUUUUCUCUCUAAACUCCCCUUUUUGCCCCCUCUUUGUGUCUGGCACCUUCAGUAGAGUAGCAUAACACCGCAGCAUCAACAGAAAGACCAUCUGAAACGCUUUCAGACCUUCAAAGGUUUAAUAAAUAAUUCUAAAAAAAAAUAAUAAAUUUCAACUUCUGUGAAAUUUAUUCGAGCCUUAUAAAAUUUCAUGAAAUUUCACGUGAAAUUUCAUGAAAUUUCAAAACGUGAAAUUUCACUUUCCAUCUCUGUACCUCUCAUAAGAGGCAAUGGAGAAUUCAUGCCCGCGCUCGGUUUUUCACGAAUAUCUCGUUAAGAGUCCAUUUUUAGACAAAAUUCCUAAGAAGAAGAAUUAUAGAACACAUAAUUUUACACCCGAUUAGCAUUGUUUCAUUUUUCCAAACAAAUUAUUAACCGAGGAAAAAAGCCUUACAAUUCGACGAAAAUUCACUGGAGCCGCUACUGCGCAUGCGCAGAUGUGCGCAACUGGGACACACGAACUCAUCGAUGCGGGUUGAUGCCACCCAAAUGCCACCACUCAUCGCAUGCGAAUUUUUUGAAGUUGUCUCGCCUUCCGGAACACAGGAUGCACUGUCUACGUGAUACAAUGUUUUUUCUCUACGGUCUUCGAAAUCUAACCUAAAACCUAACUGAAAGUCGGACGGUGGAGGAGCAGGAGAGUCGGUGGAUGUCAAUACAUGGUCAAUACGUAUCUCUAUUUUGCUUGUUCAAUCCGGUCCCUUUUGGGUUUUCUUUUAUCUAGUCUCGAAUUUUCAGUGUGUUAUGGCAGUUUCUGCCCAUGUUUUCCAUGUCUCACACGUUAUUGAUUUAAAAUACUUCUUUUAAUUGUUUCUUGUUUUGGAGUGUUGAAUGCUCUUGAUGUUAGGUCAUUGUUUAAAAUGGCAAGGCAGGCUUUCGGGUGACUGUUCAUUUAUUUUAAAUUUAACCUUCAAUAAUGAGUGAUAAUCGAAAAAUUGUG
rnacentral:lncRNA from 1 species